rnacentral:rRNA from 1 species
UACGUAGGUGACCAGCGUUGUCCGGAUUUACUGGGCGUAAAGAGCGCGCAGGCGGUCGUUCAAGUCGAGUGUGAAAGCCCCCGGCUCAACUGGGGAGGGUCAUUCGAUACUGAUCGACUUGAAGGCAGGAGAGGGAAGUGGAAUUCCCGGUGUAGUGGUGAAAUGCGUAGAGAUAUGGAAGAACACCAGUGGCGAAGGCGCUCUGCUGGGCCAAAACUGACACUGAGAGACGAAAGCCAGGGGAGCAAAUAGG